UACGGGGGAUACGAGCGUUAUCCGGAUUUAUUGGGUUUAAAGGGUGCGUAGGCGGUUUAUUAAGUCAGUAGUGAAAUCUUAUAGCUUAACUAUAAAACUGCUAUUGAUACUGGUAGACUCGAGUGAUAUUGAAGUAACUGGAAUGUGUGGUGUAGCGGUGGAAUGCAUAGAUAUCACAUAGAACACCAAUUGCGAAGGCAGGUUACUAAGUAUUACUGACGCUGAGGCACGAAAGCAUGGGGAGCAAACAGG
rnacentral:rRNA from 1 species